CGUAGGGUGCGAGCGUUAAUCGGAAUUACUGGGCGUAAAGCGUGCGCAGGCGGUUUAGUAAGACAGGCGUGAAAUCCCCGGGCUCAACCUGGGAACUGCGCUUGUGACUGCUAAGCUAGAGUACGGCAGAGGGGGAUGGAAUUCCGCGUGUAGCAGUGAAAUGCGUAGAUAUGCGGAGGAACACCGAUGGCGAAGGCAAUCCCCUGGGCCUGUACUGACGCUCAUGCACGAAAGCGUGGGGGAGCAAACAGGAUUAGAUACCCUGGUAGUCCACGCCCUAAACGAUGUCAACUGGUUGUUGGGUCUUCACUGACUCAGUAACGAAGCUAACGCGUGAAGUUGACCGCCUGGGGAGUACGGCCGCAAGGUUG
rnacentral:rRNA from 1 species